rnacentral:rRNA from 1 species
GACGAAGGGGGCUAGCGUUGUUCGGAAUUACUGGGCGUAAAGCGCGUGUAGGCGGUUGCCCAAGUCGGGUGUGAAAGCCUUGAGCUCAACUCAAGAAAUGCACUCGGUACUGGGUGACUAGAGGACCGGAGAGGAUAGUGGAAUUCCCAAGUGUAGUGGUGAAAUACGUAGAGAUUGGGAAGAACACCAGUGGCGAAGGCGGCUAUCUGGACGGUUUCUGACACUAAGACUCGAAAGCGUGGGGAGCAAACAGG